GGGUUCGUAGCUCAAUCGGCAGAGCAAGCGGCUUUUACCCGCGAGGUUGGGAGAUCAUGGCUCCCCGGACCCA
rnacentral:tRNA from 1 species